GGAUUAGAUACCCGGGUAGUCCACGCCGUAAACGAUGGAUACUGGGUGUGGGGGGAGUCGAAUCCCUCUGUGCCGAAGUUAACGCGUUAAGUAUCCCGCCUGGGGAGUACGGCCGCAAGGCUAAAACUCAAAAGAAUUGACGGGGGCCCGCACAAGCAGCGGAGCAUGUUCUUUAAUUCGAUGCAACGCGAAGAACCUUACCUGGACUUGACAUGGAGCUGCAAGCGCACGGAAACGUGUGACCUUCGAGGGUGCUUCACAGAUGCUGCAUGGCUGUCGUCAGCUCGUGCCGUGAGGUGUUGGGUUAAGUCCCGCAACGAGCGCAACCCCCGCCGCCAGUUACGAUGUCUGGCGGGACCGCCGGGUCCAACCCGGAGGAAGGUGGGGAUGACGU
rnacentral:rRNA from 1 species